rnacentral:sRNA from 1 species
AUGAAAGUAAUAAGACAAGUAUAAGAAACACAGACGAUUUUUAAGGAGAUAAGGAAGAGAAGGUGUGUGAAGGGGAAAAAGGGUUUUGAUGAAAGGUUCGUUGUGGAUUAUAUAGAAACCAAAUCUGAAGCAUCCAAGAUUUGCAAAAACAUAAAAUGAAGGAGUGCGGUGGCGGAUUCUCGAAGCCCAUCAUCGGAGCCGUGUCAGAUUGUUGAGUUGUUGCUAGCUCUGGUUUUUAGGUUUAAGUGUGUUUCUGAUUUAGAUAGGUUUGAAGAAGUGGUUAAUUCUGUUGGAAUGUUAGCUCUGUUCCAACUUACGUGAGAUUUUGUCUAGCCUUAGAAGCGAGUGUAAAUACGUUCACAGUGAGCAAGAGCUCCAGAUGAAACCGAAUAAUACUUGAGAUCCGAUUUCUGAGCAAGGCAAGAAAGUGAAAGGAUAUGAAGAUGUCUGAGCAAGAAGAGGGAGUGAGAGAAGACGGUGAGGUUUUGUUCACUGAGCAUAUGAGGGAAUCAAUUGAUGAUGAAUGAUGUGGUGGUAGUGGUGUUAAUUUGUCGUUAAGUAAAUGUUUGGAUCAUUUACACAGAAAAAGGCUAUCAUAUGAUCUGAAUUACGUUUUAGGAGAGCCUGUUAAGUUUUGAUCUUUU